ACGCUCGACACCUACUGGAGGCAGCAGUGGGGAAUAUUGCACAAUGGGGGAAACCCUGAUGCAGCAACGCCGCGUGAAGGAAGACGGUUUUCGGAUUGUAAACUUCUGUUCUUAGUGAAGAUAGUGACGGUAGCUAAGGAGCAAGCCACGGCUAACUACGUCCCAGCAGCCGCGGUAAUCUGAGCGGGCUGGCAAGGC
rnacentral:rRNA from 1 species